CCCCCAGGCCUCAUGAGUUUGCAUUGUGCAUUUGUUAUUCUUUUACUGUAUAGUGCUUGGAUUGAUGGUGUUAGUGCUACACCCACUUUGGGGUGGAGCUAGGAUGUGAUGUAAUGACAGGAAGAAGGUGUGUCUUGCUCUUUGCUGGUUCCUGCUUGCUGUUUGCGGCUGCCAUGAACUGCAGCCCAGCCGUGCCCACCUGUCUUGGAGCCAACUGAGUGUGGACUGAAACCUCCAAAAACUAUAGUACCAAAACUGUACAAGAUGAAAGUCCUGCAAAGCCGGAAGUCUACGCCUGUGCACUGUUGGAGGUCACGAUGGAAUCUACUACUGUCCCAUCCUGCUGGAGUUUGUAGCCAAUGGUUGCUUCCAAAAGGAUGUUGAUGAAUUUCCUAAGUGCUCUGUAAUCAGACAAGGCUGAAAACACUAGCAAAGCUCAAAUGAAUUUUCAUGUACCUUGGAAGUGCUAGAAAUGACAACAGGAAAUUAGGGAAUUGCAAGGAAAAUGAAAAUCCUUAGUGAGUUUAGGAAAAUGGCAGGCUGAAAUUCCCCAGUUGCUUGCUUCUCCGCCAAAAUAUAAUGAUUUCUAAAAGAGUAUGAACGGACAUAUAGCCUCUUUCAAGAUGACCUUGGGAAAGCAGGGGUCUGUUAUGAAAAGGCUGCAAGGAACAGCCAAAGAGUGCUCACAGACGACAAGACGAUCAUACUCCAUGGAGAAAAUCAUGCAGCAGGCCACUUGCCUCUCAAGCACAGCCCGCCUCCCAGCACUCGGUUAAACUCCCCAGUGAGAAGCCCAUGAAAAUGAUCCUACAGUUCUGCACCCCAGCUCAUUCUGUGACAGGGAAAUAUAAAUUUGGUGUGGAUGCAAACAAACAAACAUGAACUGAACACCUUUACUACCCCUGCUGCAUGCUUCUCCUGCUGAUGCCGUGAGGUCUAUAAGCACGUGGGUCCCUGCCGUUCACAUCUGUGGGCCUUGUUCCUGAUUUGUCUUCCGUGUGCCAUGCCACAUGCAAGAGGGAACUGACACAGAAGAGUCAAACAAACUGUUUAGACCACUAGAUCUUAGUCUUGGUUCACACAAAAAUCUUUUAUGGAACUUGAUAGAAAAGCCCAUACCUGGAGCCUACCUUAACCCAAAUAACAGAACCUCAUAUUCAAACAGUAGCAUGUGUUAAAAGUUGAUGCAGGUAGAAAUAUCUUUGGAAUGAAAGACUUAAGUCAAUGACUCCCAAACUUUGCUCAAAUGCAAAAACUGUCUUUGUGUGUCAACUCUUUAGGAAUCUCACAUUCUGGUUGUAAAAUCUGGGGGAGUUUUAAAAGCCUAAUGUUUGAGUUGCAGUAUGAAUAAGUUCAAUCAGAAUUUCUGGGUUUUUGAACCAAGCAUCAGUGUUUUUAAAAAUUUCUCAAAAUGUUUCAGAAGUGUAGCCAAACUGGGCUGGGAGCCAAUGAGUUUAAUGAUAAUAAUCUACCCUAAACAGUAGUGUGUGUGUGUGUGUGUGUGUGUGUGUGUGUGUGUGUGUAUUAGAGAAGGGGGAUACUUGAAUGAAAAAGUGUCUUCCAAGACAGGCGCAAGAAAUUAAUGGUGUUUGGUUAGAGCCUAGCUGUGGUAUUAACAAGCCUAAAGAUAGAACAUGUCACCUGAAGCAGGAUGUCUGCAUGGAACACGGAAAGUGGGGGUCAGAGAGGAAAGCCUGGCAAGGGAGGAGUACAUGGAGGGUGUCAAGGGAACAGCCAGUCCUAUCUGUCUGGCAGGUCCACUUCCAAAGAAGAGAUGAAAGCAUUAGCUUAAGAACAUGUGACAGCCUUUGACAUUAAGACAAUCCAUCUACAAUCCCCUUCUUGGGCUGUGUACCCAAGCUGCAUUCCAUGAUGGCCUGUUUUCCCUUUCAUUUCCUCCUGGGAGAAAAUGUGUUAGUCAAGGUGACACAAGUGUCCACUUUGCUUAGAAGUUCUUAUUUCUCAUUGUAAAUUAAAAAAUUGUCAUUUUUAUUUAUGUAGCAGUCUCUUGAGAGCUUGAAUGAUAAGAAUCUGUCCCUGAGAAACUAACCCACUCUAGCAUGUUGAAAAGUUCAAUUUUCAAGCCUGAAAAUCAGUUUCCCUAAGGUGCCACUAUCUCCAAGUGUCUGGGACACAGUACUGAGCCAUUUUCAUGAGAAUUCUCUGCCAUCCUGGAAAUUCUUGGCAGCUUGUGGACAGCACUUUAUACUGCUGUGUGUUACCAUGUUAGUGUCAGGACACUACAGGCAGUGGUGACAGUGUAAAAAUGUACACCCAUGUCAGUGGCACUGCCCUCUCUGUAUAAUGCCAGCAGAGUUUCGGAAGUCUGUGGGACAGUGUUCAUCUUGUAGGCAGAUGGUCUUAGGGGAUCCCAGGGAAGAGAUUGUCAUAUGUGAGGCCUAAGGAAGCACUGGGAAGCUCAGAAUCCUGAUCUUUUGCUAAUCAGUACAACAUCAUUUUGAUAUUUUAAGAAGGAGUAGAUGUAGCCACACUGGUACGUAACAGCUGAGUAUCAGUCUUGUA